CAUCAUUCUUUCAUACUCUGCUAAAUUAACAUAGCCAAAUCAGUAUUUGACGUUUAAAAAUAACACUGAGUCCUAAUAAUUUCAUACAUUGACUCAUAAAAUAAAAUUAUUCUUUGUAUUAAACAAUAAAUUCAUUUUAAUUAGGAAAUCAGGUUUCCAAAAAGAAUAAUCCAUUUAAGAAAAUGAAUCGUUCGAUAUCAAUUGUAAUUUCUGCAAUAAUAAUGAUUGUUAUAUUAUUACACAAAUGCACCAAAGCAGCACCUUCUUUUUGUAUGCUGAAAAUAUGUUCGUAUACACCUCACUCAAUACCUCGUACGAAUAAUGACUAACUUAUCUCAUCACAUUCCAGCAGAGUCAUAAGUCGAUGUUACCUGAUCAUUCGUGUACAUGUGUGAAAAUGUAUUUGUAGUAAAAACAUUUGUAAAAAAUGAUAAAAAUAUAUU